ACCUCUUUUUAUCCCCUACUACCCACCAUUCCUUUGUUCACAUGGCAACAGAGACAAAAACUUUAGAACUUUGAUGGUUAAAACAGUCCCAAUUCGUGCUACAGUCUUUUCACCAGUCUUUGUAGAGAAACAGAAGUCUCUUUCUGUUAACUUAUGGAGUUUCUCACAAGAAAACGACUUCUGUUAUAGUUUCUUAUUGCUCUAAUGUCAGCUGCCCAGAACUGCUGUUAUCAGAGCUCACUCCUCCCAUUUCACAUCACUCUGAGGUGUGUAUGGGCCAUGAGUCUAGGGAUGUCAUUUUAAGGAUAAGUUAUUCAAAGGCAAAAAGUCUUCUUCAUCUGUUUCUGUGAGCUUCACUAGAAAACAGUUCUCUCAUUGCCCCCCAAGGCUUCAAAAUCUUCUAGCACUUCACUGUAUCACAAUUACUCUACUUUUUACUCAAAAUUUACACUUUGAACACUCCAUUCUUCCCUAUAUACUGUAUCAUGAAUUAAAGGAGUUCUUUUCAGGACUUCAUUGUCCAUCUCCAUAGUUUUAACAGAAAGAUAUUUCAGCUUAAUUAAAGCAUCUCCUUAUUCUGUACCUUUUCUGAAGCUUCUUUUCUUUCUUGUCACUGGUAGUUUAUAAGGUCUCUUUUCAUGUUGAUCACUCUCUUUUUCUCUCUCUGGAUAAAAAUAUUAAUCUGCAAGUCUCAUCUGGGUAAUGAAAGAGUUAAAUUAAAGCAUUAUAUUUGUAUUGUAGAUGUGAUACCAUGAACAUUUACUUAUUUUUUUAAAUUUUUAUCAAUUCUCAUCUACAUUUUUAUACAAGUAAAAAGUCUGUGAGCAACAAAGUUGUCCUGGGAUGAUUGUGAUGUUAAAUUGUAUCCCCAUUAAUCCAUCUAGCCCAGAAACAGGUUUUGUAUCCUUAAAACUUCAUCUAAGAGUAAAAGUGAGUGGAGAAGAAGCACCGAGUCUGUUAUCACAGACUGUACUUGCUCCCCCCACAUCCUGGGACAGGGUUUUGACUACAGCACAGACAACAAGGGAGAAAUCGCCUUGGCUUUCCAGCUAGCCGAAGCAGAGAGGUCUUCCUGGACUGUUUUCUUUCCCUUUCCUUGGAACAGAUCAAACCUGCUCUGGACUGGGGACUCGGGGGAGCACCGGGAGCUUGCACCCGUGGACUACCGGGAGCCCAGCCUGGGCAGCGGCAUUUUCCAGCACCAGAGGGAUUGAAAACAGCGAACACCCACAGGAAGGAGACCCUCUGAAUUUGUCAUCUCUUCAGAGUGGUGAGAGCAGGCACAACUGGCAGACUGACUCAGCGAUAACCAUCAGACCCACCCAAACAUGGACAUCCUUUCAUGUGCGAAGGUGUCUUGUGCAUGGAUAUUGGGCAUUACUACACAGACCCACUGGCGGACCUGAACUCUUGCUACACUGAGGUAAAGCAGCUCUGGAAAACAAAGUCACAAACCACUCAUCCAUUUCAGAAGAGAUUCUGGCUUGUACUAAUAUUUACCCUUAAGAUAGCAGCAUAAAGAUAAGAGGACCAUAAAUUUGUAAAAUAAAGAGAAUUGCUGAAAAACAUAGGAUUAAUGUUACUGUUUAUUUAUUUAUUUGAUCUCAGAAUGUGAAGGAAUAAUUAAGGGUGGCUAAAAUAUGUUCAGAACAGGCAAACUUCUAAAGAUCUCCCUUACCUCUUCCCUACACAUUCUAAUGCCACCAAUUCAUUUUAUUCUUUCCCUUCCAUUCCUUCUACUAGGCAAAUGACUGCUCCCACUCUCUUUGUGUGACACUCUCAAUUGCUAAGAAAAUAUUUUUGCCUUCCUUCUUUCAUCCAUAUUUUCCCUUAACUUCUCGAGCUCCACUUUGAUAGUCUUCUAGAGAUUUGAAAUUACCCUCUGUAUCAGUGACACUUUGCUGUAAAAUAGGGCUAAUGAGGUCACGUUGACAGGACCAGAAUAAUAUUUGUUCUGAAACUGAAUACUCUGUUUAAAUCUAUUUCUGCACUAAGUCAAUGCACUUUGAGCUGUCAUGAUGACUCAGAGCAAAGUUGCAAAGCCUCAGUUCUACAAAGAGAUUAGUCACUUUGUUUUUUUGCAGAGCUGCUCUGAGUCAGCUGUAAAUUGCUACACAUCGAGUACCUGGGUACAACUUCAAAGGGUACAGGUAACUUCAGUGCAAAUAAAGUUCAGGUUCAGGUAAAGUCCUCUGAAAAUUUCAAUGGAAAACUACAGAUGUUUAAAACUGAAAUAACCUGUUUCAACACACACUAUCAUAUUUACUAUAGAUUCUCCUUCUUCAAAGAUCAACAAAAUAAAAAAAUGCUAUUCACUGCCCGGCUUCACAAAGAACUGCUGUUGCUACCAAAUUGGGAAUUCUCAGUGCUUGAUUCCUAGUUGGCUACCAGAAUCAUUAACCUCUUCAGACACCAAGAACAAUGGACCUUCGCAUUGCUAGCUGAUCUAAUAUUAACAGGUACUUUAAUCUCAAUUUUAUUUACAGGUAAAUCACUGUUCAUCUCCAAAUCUGCUGCCUGAAUCUGUUAGCAGCAUUGCAGAGCUUAAUUAGCUGAUUGACUGAUUAUUUGAUUAUGCUAGUCUUAAUCCUUAAAUUUAACUGACAAAAGUGUGUAUUUGUAUGUGUUGCUGAUAUCUUCUCUCACUGUAACAGAUUAUGCUUCCUAUAGGAUAAAAAGUGAGUGCUCAAGGAACAAGGAUUAGUUUCAGAGCUGACAAGUGAGCAGAAUGUCAUACCUACAGAUGAGCAGAUUAACUGCAUCUGGGCAUCUGAAGGUUACAAAGUUCCGCAUGGAAGUAAUAAGGCAUUCCUGCAUUCUAUGCCACCCUGCCUCAAGGCUGUGCUAAGGACCCUAAAUUAAUGAGCCAACCUUGAAGAGAAAUUAUUUCCUUCCGUGAGCAAGUGGAGAAGUGGGGGGAAUUUGGGUCAGAAGCAAAGAUAAUCAUCAUUCUCCUCCCAUCUGUGUCAGCACAGGGAGCUGGCUGGACAUGAAGGAAGGAAUGUGCUCCAUUUAGUAGGGUCUGAUGGCACACUCCCUGUCGCCCUGAAAACUCAGCUUCUGAGCUUGCUGA